rnacentral:lncRNA from 1 species
CGCUGGAUGUCAGGGGUUAAAGUUGUGUUUUGUGUUAGUGGAUCAAGCAGCAAAAAGAGAGAAAAAUAAAAUUGAAUCCCUUGUGCAAACGAAAUUACAAAGCACCACUUGUAGAUGUAUAUAAUUAUAUUCCCAGUCUUAUAACAGGCAUUGAGAGAGAAAAUAAAUAAAAUGUAUAAAGGCUCUCAACCAAAAACCUAAUUUGAAGUAAGCAAAUCAUAGUAAGAAAAUCUAAACAUUUAAAAAAUAAUAAUAUUUGUCUAGUUUGACGAUAAGACAACUUACAGCCAAGACCAAAAAAGUACGUGUGCGCAACGUUGAACGUUUGCUGGGCAUAAAUGACGUUCAAAACCUUUAAAAUUGAAGUGAAGACCCACAAAAACAUGUAGCCUCGGAACAUUUACUGUUUACUGGGUCGGUACAAACGGAUGCAGUAAACAAAUCACCAAAAAUAUUUUGAGUCACUGAGACACUAUGUAAUCAAACUGAGUAGGUGAAUAUGAGAGCCUAGAAACAAAGGAGUUAAGUAAAACCUUAAUACAAUGAAAUUAAAAUGACUAAAUGCUUGUAAGGCAAGCACACUAGAUGAUCAAAACAUUAGAUCACAUCAAAUAAGCCCGAAUGGGUUCGCCAACUUCCCAACUAUACAAGACUAGUAUGUUAUAACUAAACAUAAUUGUAUCACAGGUGGGCUACUUACUAUCCACAGCUCACAAGCAACAGUUGCUGAUCUAUGAGCAAGUUCAAGACUUCUUGAUGUGACAUUGAAUGUGAGCCAUAGCCUCAUCCGGAGACUCAAAUGUGUAGUCUUUACCAUCAUGAGAUAGCCAUUAACGGGCCGGGAAUCGCAGUCCAUACUUCACACCUGGAUGGUCCUGUAGUAGUCGUUUGGCCUGCCCAAAAGCUGCGCGCUGCCUGGAAACAGUGGGGGAGUAGUCCUGGUAGAUAGAGAAGCUCUGUCCUUGAAAGCUCAGAGUGGUAUUGAGUGGUAUUCAGACGGGCUCGUCUGAGAAUCUCCAUCUUCUCAUGGAAAAAGUGCACUCGAAGAAUUAUGUCACAGGGCCUCUCACCAUCCCGGGACUUUGGGCGCAGCAACCGGUGGGCACGAUCAAUCAGGGACUUCUCAUCCAAGGCAGCAAAAUGUGAAAACUGUACAAAGGGUGUGUUGUCCUGAGAAAAGACUUCUCCAAGUCUGGCCUCUGACCACAGAGAGAACGUUCACCUCGUUCAGAACUACUUCAAGGUACAACAUGUGUUUGUGUUUAUAUCCUCGAUAAGAAUGAAUUAAUAAAUGUAAUGCAAUAUAAUAUCAAAUAUGGUAUAAGAUCACUGACACGUACCCCAUGUCCUCCUGCUCUAACCUCUGACCCCUACCCACAGGUGUGUCUGCGUCGUCUCGGGGCCCAGGAGGAGCAGGAUGAGAAGGCAGCAGACAAACAGCUGUUCAGCUACCUGACCCUGGUCUUCAAACUCUCCAAGGACUGUAGCCUCCUGGAAGCCUCAGGACACGUUCACUAACAUCCUGGUUAAGACACUACAAUAGUACCUAGAACCUGGUCCCAGAUCUGUUUGUGCUGUCUUGCCAUCUGUUUGUGCUGUCUUGUAGUUGCGACCAUAGGAAUUGGCACGACAGCACUAACAGCUCAGGGACCCAGCUUUACUACCUCUGGAUAUCAUAUCUGUGACGUGGGCCCAGUCUGAAAAUCACCUCAGAUAUCUCAGUUGUCUGGAGAGACACAACUGGUCCUACAGUACUGUGUUCAUGUUGAGACCAACCUGUGCUUCCCCCACUGUUGGGUGUGGCUCACCGCCUCUCAGCUGUUUGGUCAGCUGUUUGCUCACUGGAGGGAGGACACCACAGAGGAGGGCAGUGCCAACAACACCACAGAGGACGGCAGUGCCAACAACACCACAGCCUGUUGCUCCUACAUUCCUUUCUACCAGCCUGGACAAGAAUAUGAGAGUGCUAGUCCUGUCCUUUCAUCAUCAGCUCCAGUCUAAAUACCUAGACAUGUCCACAGGAGAAUAGCAGCAGUGCCUGGGAUACUAGUCAGGAUUGAGGCAAAGAGGAACGGAUAAAAGUACAGAGAGAUCCUUGAUGAAAAAAUGCUCCAGAGCACUUAGGACCACAGACUGGGCAAAGGUUCACCUUCCAACAGAACAACGGCCCUAAGCACACAGCCAAGACAACGCAGGAGUGGCUUCAGGAUAAGUCUCUGAAUGUCCUUGAGUGGCCCAGCCAGAGCACGGACUUGAACCUGAUCGAUCAUCUCUCUGGAGAGACCUGAAAAUAGCUGUGCAGCAACACUCCCCAUCUAACCUGACAGAGCCUGAGAGGAUCUGCAGAGAAGAAUGGGAUAAGCUCCCCAAGCUUGUAACGUCAUACCCAAGAAGACUCGAUGCUGUAAUCGCUGCCAAAGGUACUUCAACUAAGUACUGAGUAAAGGGUCUGAAUACUUAUGUAAAUGUGAUAUUUCAGUUGUUUUUUGAAUACAUUUGCAAAAAAAAUCUAAACUUCUUUUUGCUUUGUCAUUAUGGUGUGAUUAGGAAAAAAAACAAUUUAAUACAUUUUAGAAUAAGGCUGUAAUGU